UGCGCAGGCGGACUUUUAAGUCAGUGGUGAAAUCCCGAGGCUCAACCUCGGAACUGCCAUUGAUACUGGAAGUCUUGAAUUUGGUUGAAGUGGGCGGAAUGUAGCAUGUAGCGGUGAAAUGCUUAGAUAUGCAACAGAACACCGAUCGCGAAGGCAGCUCACUAAGCCAAUAUUGACGCUCAGGCACGAAAGCGUGGGGAGCAAACAGGAUUAGAUACCCUGGUAGUCC
rnacentral:rRNA from 1 species